UACGGGGGGAGCAAGCGUUGUUCGGAUUUACUGGGCGUAAAGGGCGCGUAGGCGGGAUGGCAAGUCGGUCGUGAAAUCCCUGGGCUCAACUCAGGGGGGUCGGCCGAUACUGCCGUUCUUGAGGGAUGCAGAGGAGACUGGAAUUCCCGGUGUAGCGGUGAAAUGUGUAGAGAUCGGGAGGAACACCGGUGGCGAAGGCGGGUCUCUGGACAGUUCCUGACGCUGAGGCACGAAGGCCAGGGGAGCAAACGGG
rnacentral:rRNA from 1 species